UGGUGUGGCUCAAUUGGUAGAGCAGCUGACUUGUAAUCAGCAGGUUGUAGGUUCGAGUCCUAUCACC
rnacentral:tRNA from 1 species